UACGUAGGGGGCAAGCGUUGUCCGGAUUUAUUGGGCGUAAAGAGCGUGUAGGCGGUCUGGUAGGUCCGCUGUGAAAACUCGAGGCUCAACCUCGAGACGCCGAUGGAAACCAUCAGACUAGAGUCCGGAAGAGGAGAGUGGAAUUCCUGGUGCAGCGGUGAAAUGCGCAGAUAUCAGGAAGAACACCCGUGGCUAAGGCGGCUCUCUGGGACGGUACUGACGCUGAGACGCGAAAGCGUGGGGAGCGAACAGG
rnacentral:rRNA from 1 species